rnacentral:rRNA from 1 species
GAUGAACGCUAGCGGGAGGCUUAACACAUGCAAGUCGAGGGGUAUUGUAGCAAUACAUUAGACCGGCGCACGGGUGAGUAACGCGUAUGCAACCUGCCGUUAACCGGGGGAUAGCCCGUCGAAAGGCGGAUUAAUACCCCAUAAUAUUGGGAUUCUGCAUGGGAUUUCAAUUAAAGCUGAGGUGGUUAACGAUGGGCAUGCGUGACAUUAGCUAGUUGGUAUGGUAACGGCCGACCAAGGAUACGAUGUCUAGGGGUUCUGAGAGGAAGGUCCCCCACACUGGUACUGGGACACGGCACAGACUCCUACGGGAGGCAGCAGUGAGGAAUAUUGGUCAAUGGGCGAGCGCCUGAACCAGCCAUGCCGCGUGCAGGAAGACGGCCCUAUGGGUUGUAAACUGCUUUUGCGCAUGAAGAAUGUUACCGACGUGUCGGUAAGUGACGGUAAUGCGUGAAUAAGCAUCGGCUAACUCCGUGCCAGCCGCCGCCGUAACAC